rnacentral:rRNA from 1 species
GACACCAUAGCCAAGUCGAGCGGUAGCACACCCGCUAGCUUGCUCCCUGGGUGACGAGAGGUUAAAGGGUGAGUAAUGUCUGGGAAACUGCCUGAUGGAAGGGGAAAACUACUGUGAACCGUAUCUAAUACCGCAUAUUGUCGCAAGAGCUCUGGGGGGACCUUCGGGCCUCUUGCCAUCAGAUGUGCCCAGAUGGGAUUAUGUAGUAGGGGGGGUGGUGGAUCACCUAGGCGACGAUCCCUAGAUGGGCUGAGAGGAUGACCAGCCCCGCUGGAACUGAAACACGGACAAUACUCCUACGGGAGGCAGCGGUGAGGAAUAUUGCACGAUGGGCGCAAGCCUGAUGCAACCCUGCCGCGUGGGUGAAGAACGUCUUCGGGUUGUAAACUUCUUUCAGCGAGGAGGAAGGUGGUGAACUUAAUACAUUCAUCACUUGACGUUACUCCCAGACAAAGCACCGGCUAACUCCGUGCCAGCAACCGCGGUAAUACGUAGGGGGCAAGCGUUAAUCGGAAUUACUGGUGGUAAAUCGCACGCAAGCGGUUUGUUAAGUCAUAUGUGAAAUCCCCGGGCUCAGCCUGACUACUGCAUUUGAAACUGGAAAGCUAUUCCCUCGGAAAGGGGGAUAUAAUUCCAGGUGUAGCGGUGCCAUGCUUACAAAUCUGGAUCAAUACCGGUGAACUAAGCCGCACCCUGGACAAUACUGAAGCUCACGCGCUUAAGCGUGGUGAGCAAACACGAUUAAAUACCCUGGUACUCCACGCUGUAAACCAUGUCAAAUUUGCAGGGUGUGCCCUUGAGGUUUGGCUUCCGGACCUAACGAGUUAAUCGACCGCCCUGAGAUGUACGGUCCUUAGGGUAGAACUCCAAUGAAUUGGCGGGCGGC